rnacentral:rRNA from 1 species
AAUCAACGCUGGCGGCGUGCCUCAGACAUGCAAGUCGAACGAUUAAAGCUCUCUUCGGAGAGUGUAUAGAGUGGCGCACGGGUGAGUAACACGUAAGUAAUCUACCUUUGAGUGGGGAAUAACGUCCGGAAACGGACGCUAAUACCGCAUAAUGCAGCGGCAUCGCAAGAUGACAGUUGUUAAAGAUUUAUCGCUUGAAGAGGAGCUUGCGGCAGAUUAGCUAGUUGGUAAGGUAAUGGCUUACCAAGGCUACGAUCUGUAACCGGUCUAAGAGGACGGUCGGUCACACUGACACUGAAUAACGGGUCAGACUCCUACGGGAGGCAGCAGUCGGGAAUUUUGGGCAAUGGGCGAAAGCCUGACCCAGCAACGCCGCGUGAAGGAUGAAGUAUUUCGGUAUGUAAACUUCGAAAGAAUGGGAAGAAUAAAUGACGGUACCAUUUAUAAGGUCCGGCUAACUACGUGCCAGCAGCCGCAGUAAAAC